CCCUUAGAUGUUCUGGGCCGCACGCGUGCUACACUGAGUGGAUCAGCGGGUCAGGUUACGCGAGAGCGUUUCCUAAUCUUCAAAUCCACUCGUGAUGGGGAUUGACGGUUGCAAUUUUCCGUCAUGAACGAGGAAUACCUUGUAAGCGCGGGUCAUCAUCCCGCGCUGAAUACGUCCCUGCCCUUUGCACACACCGCCCGUCGCUCCUACCGAUUGAGUGGUCCGGUGAGGCUUUGGGAUCUAAGCGAAAAGAGCGUUUCGCUCCUUUUGCUGGGAGAACUCAGUCGAACCUUAUCAUUUAGAGGAAGGAGAAGUCGUAACA
rnacentral:rRNA from 1 species